rnacentral:rRNA from 1 species
UGCCUACGGGGGGCUGCAGUGGGGAAUUUUGGACAAUGGGGGCAACCCUGAUCCAGCCAUUCCGCGUGAGUGAAGAAGGCCUUCGGGUUGUAAAGCUCUUUCAGCUGGAGUGAAACGGUGCGCUCUAACAUAGCGUGCUAAUGACGGUACCAGCAGAAGAAGCACCGGCUAACUACGUGCCAGCAGCCGCGGUAAUACGUAGGGUGCGAGCGUUAAUCGGAAUUACUGGGCGUAAAGCGUGCGCAGGCGGAUUGUUAAGCAAGAUGUGAAAUCCCCGGGCUUAACCUGGGAAUGGCAUUUUGAACUGGCAGUCUAGAGUGCGUCAGAGGGGGGUGGAAUUCCACGUGUAGCAGUGAAAUGCGUAGAGAUGUGGAGGAACACCGAUGGCGAAGGCAGCCCCCUGGGAUGACACUGACGCUCAUGUACGAAAGCGUGGGUAGCAAACAGGAUUAGAUACCCCGUAGUC